GAAUUUUGGACAAUGGGCGAAAGCCUGAUCCAGCAACGCCGCGUGCAGGAUGAAGGCCUUCGGGUUGUAAACUGCUUUUGUACGGAACGAAAAGGUUUGGGCUAAUACCAUGGAGUCAUGACGGUACCGCAAGAAUAAGCACAGGCCAACUACGGACCAGCCGCCGCGGUAAUACGUAGGGUGCAAGCGUUAAUCGGAAUUACUGGGCGUAAGGCGUGCGCAGGCGGUUUUGUAAGACAGGGGUGAAAUCCCCGGGCUCAACCUGGGAACUGCCUUUGUGACUGCAAGGCUAGAGUACGGCAGAGGGGGGUGGAAUUCCGCGUGUAGCAGUGAAAUGCGUAGAUAUGCGGAGGAACACCGAUGGCGAAGGCAACCCCCUGGGCCUGUACUGACGCCCAUGCACGAAAGCGUGGGGAGCAAACA
rnacentral:rRNA from 1 species